rnacentral:rRNA from 1 species
GACGAACGCUGGCGGCGUGCCUAAUACAUGCAAGUCGAACGAAGCUGUUUUAACUGGUGCUUGCACCGACUUAAACAACUGAGUGGCGAACGGGUGAGUAACACGUGGGUAACCUGCCCCAAAGCGGGGGAUAACAUUUGGAAACAGAUGCUAAUACCGCAUAACCACAGAAACCACAUGGUUUCUGUGUCAAAGAUGGUUUCGGCUAUCACUUUGGGAUGGACCCGCGGCGUAUUAGCUAGUUUGUAAGGUAAUGGCUUACCAAGGCAAUGAUGCGUAGCCGAACUGAGAGGUUGAUCGGCCACAUUGGGACUGAGACACGGCCCAAACUCCUACGGGAGGCAGCAGUAGGGAAUCUUCCACAAUGGACGAAAGUCUGAUGGAGCAACGCCGCGUGAGUGAAGAAGGUUUUCGGAUCGUAAAACUCUGUUGUCAGAGAAGAACGUGUGCGAGAGUAACUGCUCGUGCAGUGACGGUAUCUGGCCAGAAAGCCACGGCUAACUACGUGCCAGCCGCCGCGGUAA